CUUCCAGACUCCUACGGGAGGCAGCAGUGGGGAAUAUUGCACAAUGGGGGAAACCCUGAUGCAGCGACGCCGCGUGAGUGAAGAAGUAAUUCGUUAUGUAAAGCUCUAUCAGCAGGGAAGAAAAUGACGGUACCUGAGUAAGAAGCCCCGGCUAACUACGUGCCAGCAGCCGCGGUAAUACGUAGGGGGCAAGCGUUAUCCGGAUUUACUGGGUGUAAAGGGAGCGUAGACGGCAGUGCAAGUCUGGAGUGAAAGGCGGGGGCUCAACCCCCGGACUGCUCUGGAAACUGUACGGCUGGAGUGCAGGAGAGGUAAGUGGAAUUCCUAGUGUAGCGGUGAAAUGCGUAGAUAUUAGAAAGAACACCAAUAGCGUAGGCAGGUUACUGGGACGGUUCUGACACUAAGGCACGAAAGCGUAGGGAGCAAACGGGAUUAGAUACCCGAGUAUU
rnacentral:rRNA from 1 species